ACGAACGCUGGCGGCGUGCUUAACACAUGCAAGUCGAACGGAAAGGCCCCUUUGGGGGUCCUCGAGUGGCGAACGGGUGAGUAACACGUGAGUAACCUGCCCUUGACUUCGGGAUAACUUCAGGAAACUGGGGCUAAUACCUGAUAGGAAUCCUUGCUGCAUGGUGGGGGUUGGAAAGCUUCGGCGGUUUUGGAUGGACUCGCGGCUUAUCAGCUUGUCGGUGGGGUAGUGGCUUACCAAGGCUUUGACGGGUAGCCGGCCUGAGAGGGCGACCGGCCACAUUGGGACUGAGAUACGGCCCAGACUCCUACGGGAGGCAGCAGUGGGGAAUAUUGCACAAUGGGCGGAAGCCUGAUGCAGCAACGCCGCGUGCGGGAUGACGGCCUUCGGGUUGUAAACCGCUUUCAGCAGGGGCGAAGCUUGUGGUGACGGUACCUGCAGAAGAAGCACCGGCUAACUACGU
rnacentral:rRNA from 1 species